AUUGUCCCUAGAGGUGUUGCAGGUGUGGUUGNUGUGUACACAUGUGUCGAUAGGUGGCAGAGAAGAGUCAGGCUAUGUCUUCACUCAGUGUUCUGACCCAUGGACAUCUGAAUGAUUAAUAACCUAAUACU
rnacentral:snoRNA from 14 species